UACGUAGGGUGCAAGCGUUGUCCGGAAUUAUUGGGCGUAAAGAGUUCGUAGGCGGUCUGUCGCGUCGGUCGUGAAAACUUGGGGCUUAACCCUGAGCUUGCGGUCGAUACGGGCAUGACUGGAGUUCGGUAGGGGAGACUGGAAUUCCUGGUGUAGCGGUGAAAUGCGCAGAUAUCAGGAGGAACACCGGUGGCGAAGGCGGGUCUCUGGGCCGAUACUGACGCUGAGGAGCGAAAGCGUGGGGAGCGAACGGG
rnacentral:rRNA from 1 species